UUCAUUGAGAAAAGUUCCGAUACCAAGUGAUAACUCAGUAGCUGGUCGGUGUGAAUGAGAAAGUGUUAAGUGAGUCUUUCUGGAACGCCACAUCGUAGAAUAACAACAUCUUUCUGAUUACAGCACAAAGCACAAAAAAUAAAUUGCGUAUAGAGAGGAAGUCGCAGCUAAGAGAAAGAAAGGACCAAUGACGAUGAAGGAGGAGAAGGGGAUUCCGCGGCGCUAGGCACCAAAAGCUUCAAUCAACACAGUCCUAUCUACUUCCAUCGGAUUGUGAAAGACAUAAGAUGCCCCCUAGACCUGCUAUGCGAUUUAAGGAAUGACGGAAGGGAAUCAAAAAAGAAAUAAAAAAAGAAAAGAGCUCGUUAACUCCCACCUUUUGCUCACUCCAAUAGAAGAAAAAAUCCUUCCUUGUGAUGAGCUUGAAACUCGCCUUGAAGCAUAGGCUAGGUAAGGAAGUUCUCCAACAACAACAACUCGAUAAUACUCGACGACAUCGUGCACGCAUAGUGCAGAAGUGGUUCCCAAGGAACCCCCGACUUUCAAUACUUAGCAUUUUAUGCUUAUUCUAAUAUCAUAUUCUAAGGUCUAACUUCUAAUUAAUUCUUACUGGGGAAAUGAUGUAAGAGAAGUGCGAAAGAGGCUCUUUUCAAUCUUAUGAGAUUCGAUCAAGAAAGCGGCGGGCCCAGUGAGCUCUCCAAUCGCGCACCGAAACAAAAACAUAGAAAGAAUUGGUCUUGGGGCAAAUCCCCUUUGAGGUAGGUAGGUCGAAUAGGCUCACUCAGGCUAGGAACAAUCUCUUGAUGUAAGAUUCUAUAAGAUCAAUCUCUUUAUUGUUGAGGAACGGAACUAUUCUAUUAGUGAGGGGGCAAUGCACUAUGUAGACUUCAUCCGAAGCGGUUGUUCUCUCUACUUAUCUUAAAGAGAUAAGCAAUUCCUUUACUCUAAGAGGGUACCCUAGACAUUGUAUACGGCCAGAUCUAUAUAAAUAGAUUAAAUCUCCUACCCAUUCUACACUUUCUCCACCCGGAACAAUGGAAAAAAGCGUGGCCACCAAUUUCCUUUCUAUACGAUAAAAGCCAGAUCUUGCAUGGAUGCUAGCAGUCCCAUAGAUAGAAGAGCGCUAUGAAAGAGCUCAACAAAGCUGAUUUUAAAUUUAUAUGCUACUGGGCAAGCUCUAGGAAUCGAGCCGAUGUAUUCGAGUAUGAAGGAGUUGGACUUGGUCUGUUCGAAGGCAAGAAUUGCACUUCUCCUUUCAUUCCAGGUCUACCAACCCCGCCAUUUCCGAUUAGAAGAUGGGAGAACCUAUCAGUAAGGACGAUCGUGAGAAGAAGAAGUAGUAGUCUUACUUUCCCUGCUCUUGUUCGCGGAUUCCUGGCUUGGAUUCCUUCUUUCGCCUUCUCGA